rnacentral:lncRNA from 1 species
GAGGGGGCAAAUUUUCCAUUUUGGUUUUAUUUUUCUAAAUUUUUUACUUGUAAAUGAAUUUUCUUUUUUUUCUUUUUUGGAAACUUGAAGGUCACACAUGUCCUUGGAGCCUUAGUUAACUCUGAUGCUAAGUGUUCUAUGAAAAAAUUAAUUAAUCACUUAAGGUGUGCUUGGUAAAACUUAAUACUUAUUAUUUAGUGACUUAAGUUAAAUUAUAAUUAAGUUAUUGGUCUAAAACUUAUUACUUAAUUUGUACUUUUAAGUCUUAAGGUUGUU